UACAGGGGGUGCAAACGUUGCUCGGAAUCAUUGGGCGUAAAGCGCACGUAGGCGGUUCGUUAUGUCGGAUGUGAAAGCCCUUGGCUUAACCGAGGAAGUGCAUCCGAAACUGGCGAGCUAGAGUACUAAAGAGGAUCGCGGAAUUCCCGGUGUAGAGGUGAAAUUCGUAGAUAUUCGGAAGAACACCAGUGGCGAAGGCGACUCACUGGACACGUAUUGACGCUGAGGUGCGAAAGCGUGGGGAGCAAACAGG
rnacentral:rRNA from 1 species